rnacentral:rRNA from 1 species
CACGGACCAAGGAGUCUCACAUAUGUGCGAGUAUAGGGGUGGCAAACCCCCAUGCGUAAUGAAAGUAACAGUGGUGGGACCUUUGGGCACCAUCCGCCGGCCUCUUGACUUCGGUCUAUCGGUCUGAGUGUGAGCAUACAUGUUGGGACCCGAAAGAUGGUGAACUAUGCCUGAAUAGGGCGAAGCCAGGGGAAACUCUGGUGGAGGCUCGUAGCGAUACUGACGUGCAAAUCGUUCGUCAUAUUUGGGUAUAGGGGCGAAAGACUAAUCGAACCAUCGAGUAGCUGGUUCCCUCCGAAAUUUCCCUUAGGAUAGCUG